UACGGGGGUGGCGAGCGUUACUCGGAUUUAUUGGGUGUAAAGGGCAGGUAGGCGGCUAUGCAAGUUGAUGGUGAAAUCCUAAGGCUCAACCUUAGAACUGCCUUCAAAACUGCAUGGCUUGAGGCUAGAAGAGGAGAACGGAAUUCCCGGUGUAAGGGUGAAAUCUGUAGAUAUCGGGAAGAACACCUGUGGCGAAAGCGGUUCUCUGGUCUAGCUCUGACGCUAAGCUGCGAAAGCUCGGGGAGCAAACAGG
rnacentral:rRNA from 1 species